rnacentral:rRNA from 1 species
AGUGUUAUCCGGAAUCACUGGGCGUAAAGCGUCUGUAGGUGGUUUAAUAAGUCAACUGUUAAAUCUUGAAGCUCAACUUCAAAAUCGCAGUCGAAACUAUUAGACUAGAGUAUAGUAGGGGUAAAGGGAAUUUCCAGUGGAGCGGUGAAAUGCGUAGAGAUUGGAAAGAACACCGAUGGCGAAGGCACUUUACUGGGCUAUUACUGACACUCAGAGACGAAAGCUAGGGUAGCAAAUGGGAUUAGAUACCCCAGUAGUCCUAGCCGUAAACAAUGGAUACUAGGUGUUGAACAGAUCGAACUGUGCAGUAUCAAAGCUAACGCGUUAAGUAUCCCGCCUGGGAAGUAUGCUCGCAAGAGUGAAACUCA